CGGACGGGUGAGUAACGCGUGAGAAUUUGCCUUUAGGAGGGGGACAACAGACAGAAAUGACUGCUAAUACCCCAUAUGCUUUCGAGUAAAAUGGAUUUUUCCGCCUAAAGAGAAGCUUGCGGCUGAUUAGCUUGUUGGUAAGGUAAUGGCUUACCAAGGCGACGAUCAGUAUCUGGUUUGAGAGGAUGAUCAGACACACUGGAACUGAGACACGGUCCAGACUCCUACGGGAGGCAGCAGUGGGGAAUUUUCCGCAAUGGGCGAAAGCCUGACGGAGCAAUCUCGCGUGAGGGAUGAAUGCCUAUGGGUUGUAAACCUCUUUUUUCAGGGAGGAAUAAGUGACGUGUACCUGAAGAAUAAGCAUCGGCUAACUCCGUGCCAGCAGCCGCGGUAAGACGGAGGAUGCAAGUGUUAUCCGGAAUCACUGGGCGUAAAGCGUCUGUAGGUGGUUUAAUAAGUCAACUGUUAAAUCUUGAAGCUCAACUUCAAAAUCGCAGUCGAAACUAUUAGACUUGAGUAUAGUAGGGGUAAAGGGAAUUUCCAGUGGAGCGGUGAAAUGCGUAGAGAUUGGAAAGAACACCGAUGGCGAAGGCACUUUACUGGGCUAUUACUGACACUCAGAGACGAAAGCUAGGGUAGCAAAUGGGAUUAGAUACCCCAGUAGUC
rnacentral:rRNA from 2 species